AACGGCCGCGGUAUUUUGACCGUGCAAAGGUAGCAUAAUCAUUAGUCUUUUAAUAGGGGGCUGGAAUGAAAGGUUUGACGAGACAUUAGCUGUCUCAAUUUAAUUAAUUAAAAUUUACCUUUUGAGUUAAAAGGCUUAAAUUUUGUUGGAAGACGAGAAGACCCUAUAGAGCUUUAUGGCUGUAUAUUUUAAUUGUUUUGGAUUAUAAGUUAAUAUUAGGUAUCCAGGGGUUUUGUUGGGGUGAUGAGAAAUAUAAGAAAAACUUUUUUAUUUAUAUUACAUUCAUUUAUGAUUAUUAGAUCCGUUAAUAUUGAUUAUUAGACUAAGUUACCUUAGGGAUAACAGCGUAAUCUUCUUUUGGAGUUCAAAUUUACAAGAAGGGUUGCGACCUCGAUGUUGGAUUAAGAUUAUAUUUAGGUGUAGCAGCUUAACUAAUAGGUCUGUUCGAC
rnacentral:rRNA from 1 species